rnacentral:rRNA from 1 species
GUUAGCGGCGGACGGGUGAGUAACACGUGGGUAACCUGCCUGUAAGACUGGGAUAACUCCGGGAAACCGGGGCUAAUACCGGAUGGUUGUUUGAACCGCAUGGUUCAAACAUAAAAGGUGGCUUCGGCUACCACUUACAGAUGGACCCGCGGCGCAUUAGCUAGUUGGUGAGGUAACGGCUCACCAAGGCAACGAUGCGUAGCCGACCUGAGAGGGUGAUCGGCCACACUGGGACUGAGACACGGCCCAGACUCCUACGGGAGGCAGCAGUAGGGAAUCUUCCGCAAUGGACGAAAGUCUGACGGAGCAACGCCGCGUGAGUGAUGAAGGUUUUCGGAUCGUAAAGCUCUGUUGUUAGGGAAGAACAAGUACCGUUCGAAUAGGGCGGUACCUUGACGGUACCUAACCAGAAAGCCACGGCUAACUACGUGCCAGCAGCCGCGGUAAUACGUAGGUGGCAAGCGUUGUCCGGAAUUAUUGGGCGUAAAGGGCUCGCAGGCGGUUUCUUAAGUCUGAUGUGAAAGCCCCCGGCUCAACCGGGGAGGGUCAUUGGAAACUGGGGAACUUGAGUGCAGAAGAGGAGAGUGGAAUUCCACGUGUAGCGGUGAAAUGCGUAGAGAUGUGGAGGAACACCAGUGGCGAAGGCGACUCUCUGGUCUGUAACUGACGCUGAGGAGCGAAAGCGUGGGGAGCGAACAGGAUUAGAUACCCUGGUAGUCCACGCCGUAAACGAUGAGUGCUAAGUGUUAGGGGGUUUCCGCCCCUUAGUGCUGCAGCUAACGCAUUAAGCACUCCGCCUGGGGAGUACGGUCGCAAGACUGAAACUCAAAGGAAUUGACGGGGGCCCGCACAAGCGGUGGAGCAUGUGGUUUUAAUUCGAAGCAACGCGAAGAACCUUACCAGGG